GAGCCCCACCUGGCCGUCGCACGCGGGCAUCCUUGCUGCAUCACUGUGUCUAAGCAUUUGUAGUCAGAAACCGCGCUGGCUUUUUUUGCGGGGGGGGGGACGACGACAAAAAAAUGAAAUGCCUGCGCGCUUGUCAAGAUUUAAUUAGGUGUUCCCCACCCACCCCCCUUUUUUUUCAAAUUGAUGGGAUGCGGGCACGGAUCUCGAUUUUAGUUUCUCUUCUGAAUUUACUGCCCGGGACCAAAGUCUAUCGACUGGACUUCAUAAUGCGCAGUAGGAGUAGGGAGAAGGAUUUAUUUUAGAGCAGGUUUAUAUCACCCUGACAUUCAAACAGUCUACACAAUCUAAUAUACUGAAUCAAAAGAUUGACGUUUUUUAAGAUAGUCUGACAGAAUCCUUAAGUUUUUUCCCUUAAGAUUUUGUUUUAUGACUAUAGAGUUGUGUGAAAACCUGCAGAUCUGUUUGCAUAUUGAAUACAGUAGUAGAUUGGAUGGCAGAAAUCAGCAUUUGAGACUCACCUUUUUGGGUUACUGCUGCUGCUGUUACUGGUGUUUUUAAAUUUUUAUCUUGCUUUUUUUUAUAUACAACUCAAGGUGACAAUCAUACCUAAUAUUCCUUCCUCUCUUUUUUUCUCUCCACUACUACAACUCUGUGAGGUGGGUUGAGCUAGAAAGAGUAAAUUGUCCAAGAUCCCCCAACUGGCGUUCAUGUCUAAGAUAGGACUAGAAGUCAGUCUCCUGGUUUCUAAGACAGCAUUUUCACCAGAAUACCAAACUAGUUCUUACAGAUGAUAUGGUAGUAUUGUCAGACCAAACACUUCAGAGUUCCCAAUCUUAAAAAUUAAAAAACAAAACGGGGAACUUGUUCUGCAGAAAGAUUGAAAUCAGCAAUAGAAGGACUGAGCUGUAAUGCUCCCAGAAAUCUGGGGAGCUGAGAAAAAAAAGUGUCUGGAUAAAGGUUGUUGACAUUUUAAUGUGUUGUGUGAAUCCAACUAUGGGUUCACUUGUCAAUUGUGUCAAUUGUGCUUUAUUCAAAAUCAGCAGUCUGACCUUCAUGUUGAGACAAUUAGAAAGUCUCAUAUAAAUUAUAGAUCACUGCACAGUGCACAGUUGCCUUGUUGGUUACUGCAGAUAAUUAGAAAUUAUCAGGUCUGCUGGACUACUGCCUUCAUAGUUGUUUUUAUUCCAGAGUAUAAUGGAAUACAGAAAUUACGUAUCAGCUCAAUCAUCAGAUUUAUCUUUUAGUGAUGUAAUAUAUCAUAUAUCAAUAGGGACAAUCUUUCUUUGAAUUUAAUAAUUUGAAUGGAAAAGUAAUUGCAAAUGUACAGGAUAAAGGCUUCUAUCGGUGACAAAUUUUCCAUAUGCCUAGUAAAAUGUGAAAUUCAGUAGCAUAUAAAUGUACAUGCCUCUUUUUAUUUUUAGAACAAUCUCUAUGAAACAGUUAUGGGAGCAAAUCUCAAUGGUUUUCAAGAUUAAUGUUCUUGACCCUUAAUGAUGGUCCUUUUCUAAAUAAACUAUGGCAUCUCUUACAAGUGGAUAAAAUGUAAACGUUUCCUGAAGUGUGGAUGUUGAAAGAAAGCUCAACUGGUGAGGGAAUCCUCAAUGUAAGCGGCGAUCCGGCGGGAAGAGCUGUGAGUUGGCAGAUUUAACAACCAGCGGAUUAACAGGAGGGAGACAUAAAGGAAGGAAAGACCUUGUGGUAAAUGUUUUAGCGCAAGUACAAGGAAGAUGGAGGAUUAAGGAAGAAGAGGUUGAGAGACAAUGGCGAAAGCGGAGUUGGUGGAGUCAGUGAGACAAGAGAAGCGAAGGGAGAAGAUCGAUAAGCAAGCAGCUGGGAAGGCAGAGAAAAUGGUGAUUUAGGAGAAACGGAGAAGGAGUGAAUAUGCUGUGGAAUAUUAGAGAAUAUUGGAGAAAGUGAUUGGAGAAGAAAGUUGGAGACAGACCUGAACGUGGAGAAGAUUCGGAAAGCCAAGGAGAUGAUGAGAAGACAUGUUUAUGUGAUGAAAGAGAAUGUUGCGUGGUGAAAAUCUGGAAGGUGAAGGAGACGGCGAGAGGACGUGACAAGGAGACAAAAGCAAAAGUAACGGAUUGACGGCAGGAGAUACGAGAUCGGAGGGAAAAUCUGGAGCUCUGCAGAGGGGACUGUGCCUUUAGUUAAGAGGGAAGAGAGAAAGUGAAGAGGAUUGAAGGGGGGGAUACGGUGAUGAGUGCGAGAGGAAGUGAAGGAGACGGUGAGAGGACGGGGCACGGCGUUGAAGGAGACAGGAACGGGGGCGAGGUUCAGAAGGUAAAGGAGACGAUGAGAGGACGUGAUAAGGUGAUAAAAACGGACUAAUGAUUGAUAAUAUACGAUUGGAGAAGAAAUCUGGACUUUUAGAAAGACUGUGUGAUAAGUAAGAAAGAGGAAAGAAAGUGAAGAGGGUUGGAGAAGGUAAGGAGAGAUUUGGGGAAUAGUGGAAGUGGAGGUAGUCUCAGAGGAGUUGAGGAAGGGAAACGAAGAAUUAGAAGUUUAGAGUUAAAACAAAGUUAAAUAAAUUGUUGGCUAAAUAGAGUGACAUUUAGAAUAGAAAGUAUUAGAGAAACAAGUGAUAAAUAUGACAACACUGAGGACAGGAAAAAAAAAAAAACGGUGUCAAGCCUAGCACUGAUACCUUCAUCUCCAACUGGUCAAAGAACAUUAGAAGGAAUGCUUGGUACAGAAAAACAGAGUAUAAUAGUAAAUAUGCAGACCAUGCAGGCAACACUACUUACUAUCCAAGAAACGAUGCUAAAAAUGCAGGAGACAAUAUCUAAGAAUCACAUAGAAAUGAGAGGGGAUAUGAAUAAAUUGGAUAAUAGAAUUGAGAUGAUUCAACAAACGAUUGAGAAAAAUGAAGAAAGAAUACAGACAGUAGAAGUAAGGUUGGAUAAAGUUGGGAAAAAAGUUGACACACUAGAUAAAGAACUGAUAGCAACUAAUAAAAAAAUGGAGGAAUCGAUCAUCCAUUUGCAAAUGGACCGGGCGGCAUUUUACCUAUGAUUUCAAAAUGUGGUAGAGGAGAAGGAAGAAGAUUUGGGUGCUAUCAUGGUGGAAUUGAUUGCUGAGGCUUUACAAAGGGACAAACAAGAGAGAUUGAUAGAGAUAGAUGAGGUGUACAGUAUUCAUACAAAUUAUGCCAGAGGCAACAGACUUCCACGAGAAGUACACAUAAGAUUCGCUAGGGAAAAAGUGAGAGAUAUAAUUUACAAAAUUACAAGAGAGGAUCCAAUGAUUUAUAAAGGUAUGGAAAUACAAACUUUAAAACAGGUCCCAAAGAAAAUAAGAGAACAGAGAAGGGAGUAUAGAUUUCUCAGUGCGUAUUUAAUUAAAAGAAGCAUCCCAUUCAGAUGGCUAAUCCCGGAGGGGAUGUUGAUAUCAUGGAAGGAGAGAAGGGUUAAGAUAGACAGCUUAGAGAAGGCGCGAGAAUUCUAUGAACAAUUGGAAGGAGUGGAGGAAGAGAAUAGCAGCAAGGAAGAAUUGGAAUCCAAAAGCCAGGAAGACCAACAGCAGGAAGCAAGGGAAAUAGAACAAGGGACAGAAAGCAAGGAAGAAAAAGGACAGAGGAAAGAAAGAGGAGUAAGUCCGAGAACAAAACAAACACACAAGUAGAACACACAAGUAGAAAAUGGAAAAGGAGAUUCGAUUAAUAUCAAUUAAUGUGAUGGAUUAAAUGCACCCACAAAAAGAAAACAAAUACUAACAAAAUUAGUAAAACAACAUAUAGACAUAGCUUGUUUACAAGAGGUACAUAUUAAAGAACAACACAGGAAAUAUUUGAAGUUCCCAAAAUUAGGAGUAUUAUAUACAGCACUAGCGGAACAAAAACAGAGAGGAAUAGUGGUUUAUAUUAGAAGAGAAAUUAAUGCUAAAUUGAGGUACCAAGAUACAGAUGGAAGAAUAUUAAUAAUAGAAUUACAAAUUGAGCAGAAAUCAUGGCUGCUAGUGAUAAUAUAUGCACCAAAUGAGAAUCAAAAAGAAUUCUAUUACAAAUUACAUGAAAAACUUUUAGAAAUUGGACAGGGAAAUAUUUGUAUAGUAGGAGACUAUAAUGCGGUAGUGAAUGUAAAAAAAAAGAUUAUAUUAGUGAUAUAAAAAAUAAAAAGAAAAGGAAAACACUACCAAGGACGUUCUUUGAUUUGGCACAUGAACUUAUCUGAUCAAUGGAGGAAACGGAAUAAAAAAAAAGAAUAAUAAUAAUCUCGAACCCGCAUAAAUCUUGGUCUCGAAUAGACAUGGCAUGGAUGAAUGAAGAGGUAGGGCAAGACAUAGAGAUAAUAGAAAUAAUGCCAAAUACAUGGGCUGAUCAUAACCCUCUGAAAAUAGUUUGGAAAGGGCAGAAAAAAGUAAGAAGAAGAUGGAUAUUGAACUCUCACAUUUUGAAAGAAAAAGAAUUUAUUGUAAGGAUUAGAAGAGAAAUGGAACUCUUUUUUAAAGAGAAUAUAAAACAACAAACAUCAUUACAAAUUAUUUGGGACACUGCGAAAGCAUAUUUGAGAGGUAUAGCAGUAGCCUAUACAGUAAAAAAA